CACAAUCCUAUUAAAUAUCUAGCUACUCAUAGCAGAAAUGAAGAAAACAAAGAAAAAAACUAUUUAAACUCAUAAUAUAAAAUAAAAUGAUAAAAUAUGAUUUUUGUUUUGUCCCAAAAGGAUCAUAAAUUACAAAAGUAGUAAACUACAACGUCUACAAUCUUCAAAAUUUGACCUUAAAAUGUGAUUCUCGUCUACUUGUAGUGGCUUAAAAAUUGCUGACAAAAUGCCCUUGGAAGGUUCUGCGGCUGCACAAUUCCAUGUGCGGUCUGCAAUUUGGUUGUGUUUGCGGGGACAAUGGUUCUGUAGCUGCACAAUUUUGUUUGUGGAUAGUAUUCAUCUUCCGGGGCCAGACAAUUCAUGUGUGGUCCACACUUCAGGCAAGACUUCGGUCUUGGUCAUUUUGUACAAACUCUGAACUUUUUCAAUUUUUAUCAGCGCAGACCAUGUUCUGCAACCGCACAAUUUAUGUACAGCCCACACUUCUGCCGUAAUUACUUAUGGUCUUCUUCAUCAGAUCUGUAAUGUUAGAAAGAAAUCUACAAUCCACACUUGCUUUUGUAGCCGUAGAAAUAUAUUUGGGGACGACACUUCUGGUUUGUUGUGCCCUUUUUUGCCUUGUGAGUCGGAACAUUCUUUUUUUGAGUCUGGUCUCUUCAUGAGAGACCAAUUCUCCAACAUUCCUGCAAUUUUCAUAUUUUCAUCAGUUUUGGGAAUAUAAAUCAACACUUGCGGACUAUAACAAAAGUAAAAGGGUAUUAAUAAGUGGUCAAAAUCCACACUUAUCAAGUGGCUAUCCUAAAACAACCAUGACAUCAGCUUGAGUCACUCUCUCCAACCAUGAGUGAUUUUAUUUUGUGUCUCACAUAACUUACACUAGUUGAGACGUCUUUUUAUCUCAUAUAUUUGUGAAUUUACAUCUUACACAUCUGGAUUCACAAAAUUCUGGAACCCACACUAUUAUGAGACAAAAAGAAUAUCCCACAUAACUAAUGUCAAUUGUAUGAGACACAAAAUAAAUUUUUUGCUCCAACCACCAUAAAACAUUGCUAUUACGCCUCUACAUCAAUGUUUUCCACCAAACACUCAAAUACAAAACACUAAUGAAAUUCUUUCAUUUUUGCCGAGAAGCUUAAGUGUCGCACAAGCUCCACCGUAUUUCCUCCCUAGUCACGGGGCCGAUAUAUUUUUUUAUCAUCUCAAAUUCUUUCAUUGUGCUUUGAAGCACAACAACAUACAUCCAUGUGUGAGUGAUCUCGAAUGGUAAAAGAAAUGGGUAUUUCCUCCCUCUUUAAUUUUUUGUGGUGUUUUACUAGAGGAUUUUUAUGAGUUUUCAGUUUGAAAUUCAAGCAGAUGAGAAUAUUGUGAACUCUCGUUAUCCUCUCUCCUAUUAACCAGCAAUAGAUGUUACAAAUCCUUCUACGUUUGCUUCGAUUUAAGGGAGAAAGGAAAUGGGUGAAAAA
rnacentral:lncRNA from 1 species